rnacentral:lncRNA from 1 species
UAUAUAAAUUUUAGAGUAAGCUUCAAAUAUUAUUUCUGUGAUUUCACAUAUUUUCAUUUUAGUAUCUUAUAAUUUAAAAUAUAUCAAUUUAAUAAUAUAUAAUUUAUUUUUCUCUUUUCGUCAGCCUCUUCGUUAACUUUUUGUUAAAUCAUGUAUAAAAAAUUUCAUAUAUCCUAACUUAUAAUUUAUCAAAUAUUCAUUUUAGUACCGUUUAGUUUUAACUUUGUUACUGAUUUAAUGACAAAAUUAAUAAAAGAAAUAACAAAAAGAGAAAAAUAAAAUUACAGAAUACGAAAGUGAUACAUUUUAAAUCAUAGAGUAUUAAAAUAAAAAAGUACGAAGCUACAUGGGUACUAUUUGAAGUUUUUUCUAAAUUUUAAAAUGCUAAAAUAUACCGAUUGAAUAAUAAUUGCAUUUCGAUCAACCGAAAUAUUUUUAUUUUUUAUUAAUUUGAUUAAAUUUUU